rnacentral:rRNA from 1 species
AGCAGCCGCGGUAAUUCCAGCUCCAAUAGCGUAUAUUAAAGUUGUUGCAGUUAAAAAGCUCGUAGUUGAAUUCCGGGGUUAGUAGGUCGGUCGUGCCACUGGUAUGUACUGGCUUUACUGAUUCCUCCCUCUUGUAGAACCGUAAUGCUAUUAAUUUGGUGUUGCGGGGAAACAGGACUGUUACUUUGAAAAAAUUAGAGUGUUUAAAGCAGGCUAACGCUUGAAUACAUUAGCAUGGAAUAAUGAAAUAGGACGUCGGUCCUAUUUUGUUGGUUUCUAGGAUUGACGUAAUGAUUAGUAGGGAUAGUUGGGGGCAUUAGUAUUCAAUUGUCAGAGGUGAAAUUCUUGGAUUUAUUGAAGACUAACUACUGCGAAAGCAUUUGCCAAGGAUGUUUUCAUUAAUCAAGAACGAAAGUUAGGGGAUCGAAGACGAUCAGAUACCGUCGUAGUCUUAACCAUAAACUAUGCCGACUAGGGAUCGGAUGAUGUUAAUUUUUUAAUGUACUCAUUCGGCGCCUUA